rnacentral:rRNA from 1 species
GACGAACGCUGGCGGCGUGCCUAACACAUGCAAGUCGAGCGGGAACCUCAGGAGGGGUAACCCUUCCGAGGGGAGAGCGGCGAACGGGUGAGUAACACGUGGGCAACCUGCCCCGGACACCGGGAUAACCCAGGGAAACCUGAGCUAAUACCGGAUACUCCGGCGCGAUCGCAUGGUCGCGCCGGGAAAGCUCCGACGGUCCAGGAUGGGCCCGCGGCCUAUCAGCUUGUUGGUGGGGUAACGGCCCACCAAGGCGACGACGGGUAGCUGGUCUGAGAGGACGGCCAGCCACACUGGGACUGAGACACGGCCCAGACUCCUACGGGAGGCAGCAGUGGGGGAUCUUGCGCUAAUGCGCGAAAGCGUGACGCAGCGACGCCGCGUGGGGGAUGAAGGCCUUCGGGCUGUAAACCCCUUUCGGCAGGGACGAAGGGAAACUGACGGUACCUGCAGAAGAAGUCCCGGCUAACUACGUGC